GACGAACGCUGGCGGCGUGCUUAACACAUGCAAGUCGAACGGAAAGGCCCUGCUUUUGUGGGGUGCUCGAGUGGCGAACGGGUGAGUAACACGUGAGUAACCUGCCCUUGACUUUGGGAUAACUUCAGGAAACUGGGGCUAAUACCGGAUAGGAGCUCCUGCUGCAUGGUGGGGGUUGGAAAGUUUCGGCGGUUGGGGAUGGACUCGCGGCUUAUCAGCUUGUUGGUGGGGUAGUGGCUUACCAAGGCUUUGACGGGUAGCCGGCCUGAGAGGGUGACCGGCCACAUUGGGACUGAGAUACGGCCCAGACUCCUACGGGAGGCAGCAGUGGGGAAUAUUGCACAAUGGGAGGAAGCCUGAUGCAGCAACGCCGCGUGCGGGAUGACGGCCUUCGGGUUGUAAACCGAUUUCGCCUGUGACGAAGCGUGAGUGACGGUAAUGGGUAAAGAAGCACCGGCUAACUACGUG
rnacentral:rRNA from 1 species